CGGCGGUAUAGCUUAGUUGGCUAGAGCGUUCGGUUCAUACCCGAAAGGUCAUAGGUUCGAACCGCUACCAUCUA
rnacentral:tRNA from 1 species